GCGUUGGUGGUAUAGUGGUGAGCAUAGCUGCCUUCCAAGCAGUUUGACCCGGGUUCAAUUCCUGGCCAAUGCA